UGUGGACCCACCUGAUUCCAUGCCGAACUCAGAAGUGAAACACAAUAGCGCCGAUGGUAGUGUGGGGUCUCCCCAUGUGAGAGUAGGACAUCGCCAGGC
rnacentral:rRNA from 1 species